CACGUAGGGCGCGAGCGUUGUCCGGAAUUAUUGGGCGUAAAGGGCUCGUAGGCGGUCUGUCGCGUCGGGAGUGAAAACUCAGGGCUUAACCCUGAGCCUGCUUCCGAUACGGGCAGACUAGAGGUAUGCAGGGGAGAACGGAAUUCCUGGUGUAGCGGUGGAAUGCGCAGAUAUCAGGAGGAACACCGGUGGCGAAGGCGGUUCUCUGGGCAUUACCUGACGCUGAGGAGCGAAAGUGUGGGGAGCGAACAGG
rnacentral:rRNA from 1 species